rnacentral:rRNA from 1 species
GAUGAACGCUGGCGGCGUGCCUAAUACAUGCAAGUCGAGCGAACAGACGAGGAGCUUGCUCCUCUGACGUUAGCGGCGGACGGGUGAGUAACACGUGGAUAACCUACCUAUAAGACUGGGAUAACUUCGGGAAACCGGAGCUAAUACCGGAUAAUAUAUUGAACCGCAUGGUUCAAUAGUGGAAGACGGUUUUGCUGUCACUUAUAGAUGGAUCCGCGCCGCAUUAGCUAGUUGGUAAGGUAACGGCUUACCAAGGCAACGAUGCGUAGCCGACCUGAGAGGGUGAUCGGACACACUGGAACUGAGACACGGUCCAGACUCCUACGGGAGGCAGCAGUAGGGAAUCUUCCGCAAUGGGCGAAAGCCUGACGGAGCAACGCCGCGUGAGUGAUGAAGGUCUUCGGAUCGUAAAACUCUGUUAUUAGGGAAGAACAAAUGUGUAAGUAACUAUGCACGUCUUGACGGUACCUAAUCAGAAAGCCACGGCUAACUACGUG